rnacentral:rRNA from 1 species
GAUGAACGCUGGCGGCGUGCCUAAUACAUGCAAGUCGAGCGAACAGACGAUGAUUUUGCUCCUCUGACGUUAGCGGCGGACGGGUGAGUCACACGUGUAUAACCUACCUAUAAGACUGGGAUCACUUCGGGACACCGGAUCUAAUACCGGAUAAUAUAUUGAACCGCAUGGUUCAUUAGUGAAAGACGGUUUUGCUGUCACUUCUAGCUGGUUCCGGGCCGCAUUAGCUAGUUGGUACGGUAACGGCCUACCAAGGCUACGAUGCGUAGCCGAACUGAGAGGGUGAUCGGCCACACUGGAACUGAGACACGGUCCAGACUCCUACGGGAGGCAGCAGUAGGGAAUCUGCGGCAAUGGGCGAAAGCCUGACGGAGCAACGCCGCGUGAGUGAUGAAGGUCUUCGGAUCGUAAAAAUCUGUUAUGAGGGAAGAACAGAUGUGUAAGUAAAUAUGCACGUCUUGACGGUACCUAAUCAGAAAGCAACGGCUAACUACGUG